ensembl:lncRNA
CUUCAGGUCACCGCGUCUAACAAAUAUGAAAAUGUCGCCUGGUGAAGGGCACGCCUUGUUAUUUAACAAAGACUGUCAAUGUGUAAGAUUAAUAAGAAACAAAAUGCACACGGUGUCACUUUUCGGUCACUUUGAAACUCGGGACAGCCUCGCAUUCAAGAGGGGAAAGCUGGGGCUAAAUAUAUUCAAAAUGGUUCAAAUCAAAUUCAACCCAGGCUGCGGGUGCGAUCCUUCCUCCUCCUGCCCCUCUCUGUGGUGGGUGCCCGGGCACGGCGAAAGGUUGUCUUCUAUUAUUACUACCAUUGUUGUUGUUAUUAUUAUGACUCUCCUCGUUCUUAUCUUCUCUUUUGUCAUCCGGACGGUUGAGCCGCGGGCGCGGAGGGGAACGCGGUGUUUGCAUGCUUCUCGAGAAAAAGGGGGACCCCCUCACCCCCUCUUUGCGUAUGCGUGAAGCUGCUCUCCUUGGGGCACGGCAAUUAACUCUCUCGCUCUCAACUUAAUUCCAGUGCGGUCCCCGUCUCCUCCUCGGCCGGGAGCCCCCGGCUCCAACGCCGCUCAUUAAAGGCUCCUUCCGUAGCUAACAGAGCCCCCAGCCCCUCUGUAAGAAUAAGGGACCCGGCCUAUUUUCCCUCUCCUUUUCUUUCUUUGUGAGGUUAGGAUGAUGCUACAAGUUUGCAAAGGGAAGUACCGGGGAGAAAGGAAAAAAAAAAGAAGGGUUUCAGAGAUUGUUUAUUACAGCCAUAAAUCUUGCAGUAAAAUGUCGAAAUGGCCGUGUGCAAGAUAACACUUGGUGGUCUUGGCUGGGUUCUUGUUUAUGAUAACAAAACCACAAAGACAUGGAACAGGCCUUUUGGAGGUCCUGCCUCAGCACAUCUCCGCAGCCUGAUAGAACCCCGCAGAAACAGGCUGAGCCCGGCACCUCGGGUCACCUUGCAGAUUUACGGCCGCGCACAGCACCGCAUCCUUCUCCGUCCAACCCGGCGCCAGAGCCGCACAGUAGAGAGGUGCAGCGAAAAGAGCGUUCUCCGAGAUCUAAUCGCGGUCAAUAAUAGGAAGCAGAACCCUCUCGGCUCGCCGGCGCAGAGCUGAGCCUACAAAUCGGGACAGCGGUUUUCGUUGUGUUUGCUCGUGCCUCGGGAGCACGGAGCCUGCUGUUCCGAGCCAGCCAUAGAGCCUCCGGACUUGCCUUAUGCCGAGGAUAACGUGCCCGGUACCGCAGGGCAACGCAUCUGGUGGCGGCCAGCAGGUAUUUGUGCGUGCGUGAGGCUCUGCGCCGGGAACGUGCUUUGGGCUUUGGCAAUCUUUCCUUUCUUUCUUUCUUUCUUUCUCGCUUUUUUUUUUUUUAUAUUAUUUUUUUUUUAAGGUAAUGCAGGUGGAAGCUCUAAUUUUCCAAUCUGGGUUGCCGUGUUGUUGUUAUUGUUUUUUAAUAAAGCAAUCUCCCCUUUUCUGUCCAAAGCGUGCUGCUGAGUCUGUGUGCGUGUGUGUAACCGCAUUUCCUCUCCACGCAGAGUAAAUAGAGGAACUUAUCUAUUACCCCAGUUAAAGAGUUCCAUAGAUGUUCUGUUGGAAACGAGCGUUCUGCGAAGGCGAGAAAGAUUUCUCUUGGAACCGAGAAUUCAGAAAUAGAGCCAGCACCAGGCAAGAGAAGCGACAGUCUUACAUUCGUAGCUGGAAAGCGCAGCUCCGCGGGGAGGGAUGUUCGCAGCGAGCCCCGCGGCAGCCGGUAGGAAGCGUUUAUAGCACCGCGCCGCCUUCCCUCUCCUCCCCGUUAUUCCCCGGCUCCCCGUGCCCCCCGCACCCCACGAGACACGGAGGGGCUCCCCUCGGCCUUCCCGCGACGUCCGCGCUAACUUUGGGAUCUGCUCUUCCAGCAAGCGGGCUGCAGGGGGACGGGAGCUGCCGGCUCUCGGCUCGGGGAGAGGUCGCAGCGAAGGGAGGGGGUGAGGUGACCUCCACCCCGCAGCCCCGACGAGAGGCGUUGGGUGAUGGGUGCGUGGAGAGCUAUUGUGCAACGCUCAGCUCAGCGCCUGCCUCCCUCCCCGGGGCUGCGCACUGCUUCCCCUGCCCGCUUUCUGACACGAAAGGAGGAAAAAAAAAAAAUAGAAAAGAAAAGAAAAAAAAAAAAAGAUGACGAGGGUGAGGACUGUCAGUUCUGGAUUAGUUUUAUCUCGCUUGACACCGCGAGUGCCGGC